GUGAAUUAUGUAUACCUAAUU
ensembl:piRNA 21ur-3671 ncRNA